CUAUCACUCUCUCUUCAAACCGACACUCAAGGUUCAACUAAGCUCCGUCGGUGUGGGGGAUUCAGCUCCAUCGGUGUUGGUGCUAACUGUAAGAGAUUCAGCUUCAUCAACGAGGGGUUUUCGCUCUCUGGCACGGGAUUAGCAUCAUAAAAAAAUUUGCUCAGGUUCAUCUUCCAUACCAGUUCUUUGUGUCUUGCCCCUUGGCCAGCUUCCAGAUCUUAUAAGAGUUUAUUGUUUAAUGGAAGUGUAAUUUUCCAUCUUUCC